CAAACCCUGAUGACAUCAGUGGUCACAUGGCUUGCACAGCACUCAAAUCAUGUAACCUUAACUAGGGACAUUUGAGUAACUAGGACUUUUAGCACAAAUAGUAAGAUUUAAUAGAUCUACAUCAGUAAGAAGAAAGCAGGUUCCUCUUUCCAGCUUGAGAUGUUGGGAUAUUCUCCAGCAUCCCUGAGACCACAGGACACGUAGUUUGGAAAUUCCAAGAAUGGAUGAAGAACAAAAUAAGUCCUGGUUUGGAAUGACAUGGCGCUCUGCAACGCACCAGAGACGCCGAUAGACUUGAGGUGGCCAAUGCUCAUACAUACUGCUUCACAAGUGACUGCUGCUGAGGGAUGACAGAUUGACCAAAACAGUGGUGGCAAUCGAAGGACAACGCUUCAAGGGUGGUCAAUCAUGGUGAUUAGUCUCCCGUGGUGGAAAGUGGAGCUGCUCUUUUUGUUGAAGCCCUAAGAGUCCAUCAGCUUGGCAAGACAAGACUGCGUCUGCGAUACAAAUGCAUUAAUACAGCUUGUGGUUACGGAAGUCCUUGCCGACAAUUAAUGGCUGCCCUUUUGAAAUGCAACACUGACAUUUUUCUAGACAACACCAUGAGAGCAGCCUGCUAUUGUUUGUGAGGCUCACUUUUCUAUGUCUUUCAGGCCAAAGACUCAAUUUAAUGGGUGACUAGAUUAGAUCUAACAAACAAUGAGUGGAUAUUACUCACUGGAAUAGCAGUGUUGAAGGAAAUACUUUAUAACUGUAGCUAAUAUAUAAAUAUAAAUAUUAGGGCUGUUGAUUUAAUGUAUUAAUCUUAAUAAUUAGUUAUGGAAAAAUAAUGUAAUUUGUAACACAAUUUUGCUCUGACAUUUUGAACUAAUCAAUUAAAGCAAUGAUUCAAUGGCCUUUUCAUAAAGGCCUGUCCAUUUACUUCAUGAAGGAAUCAGCAGUUUGAAUGAAUCAGAUCCUUACUAAUGCUUCACAUGAGAUUCAUUUUAUUUGGCUGUGGACACCAAAUUUCACAAAUAACAGCAAUGUCACAUUUCGCAAUUCUACUUAUUGGACCAAACCUAUUUUUACUUAAAAAAAAAAAAAAAAAACUUUUAGUUAAUUGAUAAUCAGAUAAAUAUAACCGAUUUGAUAUUCAGAGGUCAGUUACAUUACAACCAAACAUCAAAUUUCCAUAAUGUAUGAAAAGUAUGAUAAAUGAGACCAUUCUGCAGUUUGGCUAGUGCUGGCUGGGUACCCAUUUCCUAGUACUUAAAUAUUAGCCUCUGUGUAACAUACAUCAAUAUGUUAAAAGCACUACAAAAAGCAGAUGGUGUGGAUUAUUUUCCUGGCAACUCACAAAUCUCAAAUGACUAGACCAUCCAAAUGAAAGGUCGUCUGCGUUUGGUUAAAGUCAUGCCCUUCAGAAAUAUGUCAUCGCCUUUGAUAUCACUGCCUUUAUCAAUGCCACAUUAAGUGGAAAUUUCUAUUUGCUCAAAUCUCAUAAUGACCACCCCAUUUGACUUCUUGACCCAAAUCCCCACUUCAAAAGCUUUAGAUCUGAGGUGAACAUUUUCAAGGCUAUAAUGAGCAGACUCCUGAACUGAAAUGCACCACAGAAGCCAUUGAAUAUGCAACAGACAGUUUUUUUUUUCUCUGUGCAUUGAUAUAUUUGAGGUUGUUUUUCUCAACUGUCCUUUAAAUAAACAGAUCAGCAUGAUAUGACAUGGAGAUGUCAUACAUUAGGGUAAUUAUUUGUGCAUUUGAAACUACUCGCCUUCCCACACAGCUCACAUUAAUUGGCUUGUUAAUUGACCCUAGACACAGUGUUGUAUAAAUUCAUGAUCAGCUCUGCUCCUUGGCUCAGCAGCUGAGUGCUUCCCCGGUGUGAUUCAAGACGGCCUGCCGGCUGAGAGGUCACAGG